rnacentral:rRNA from 1 species
GAUGAACGCUAGCGGCAGGCUUAAUACAUGCAAGUCGAGGGGCAGCAGGUUUGUAGCAAUACAGAUGCUGGCGACCGGCAAACGGGUGCGGAACACGUACAGAACCUUCCUUUAAGCGGGGAAUAGCCCAGAGAAAUUUGGAUUAAUACCCCAUAGUAUUGUUUGGUGGCAUCACUUGAUGAUUAAAGAUUUAUCACUUAAAGAUGGCUGUGCAGCUGAUUAGGUAGUUGGCGGGGUAACGGCCCACCAAGCCUUCGAUCAGGAACUGGUGUGAGAGCACGACCAGUCACACGGGCACUGAGACACGGGCCCGACUCCUACGGGAGGCAGCAGUAAGGAAUAUUGGGCAAUGGACGGAAGUCUGACCCAGCCAUGCCGCGUGGAGGAUGAAGGUCCUCUGGAUUGUAAACUUCUUUUAUUUGGGAAGAAACCCGAUUUUUCUAAGUCGGUUGACGGUACCAGAUGAAUAAGCACCGGCUAACUCCGUGCCAGCAGCCGCCGUAAAAC